rnacentral:rRNA from 1 species
CAAGGACUAAGCCAUGCAAGUGUAAGAUCGGGCUUACGUAUCAUCAAUGAUAUGAAAGCCAGUCUGUGGAUAGCUCAUUAAAAUAGUUGUAAUCUUAGCCGCUGGAGAGCUUUUAAAAGGAUAACACUGUUAAAUGCAGCGAUAAUACUUGAGGCUCUUUUUAAAGUCUGGCAAUCAUCUGUUCUUUAUAUCAUUACGAUAUAAGGAUCACAUUUGAAAUGGGAUGAUUGUAAGGCAUUGAUAUCCUUCUGGGAUACAAUGUAAGCCAACCGUUGAAAUAUAAAGUCGUUAUAUUCAUAAUCAGAAUAUGAUCCGGUGGUCCAGUAGAAGAGCUUCUCAUCUAUCAGCUUAAGUUGCCUGUGUAAGGAACAGGCAAGGCUACAACGGAUUAGGGGAAUUAGUGUUUGAACCUGAGAGGGAGCCUGAGAAACUGUUACCACAUCUAAGGACGGCAGCAGGCGCGCAAAUUACCCAAUGUCAAAUCGACGAGGUAGUGACGAGACGUAGUGACUUCACACUUUAAAAGUGGGAAGGUACGAUCUUUCAUUUUUAAAAAAUGAAUGAUUGUUGAUCAUGAUCUAGGUUUAAAACACCUAGAGAGCAGCAAUUGGAGGAAAAGUCUGGUGCCAGCACCCGCGGUAAUACCAGCUCCAAUAGCGUAUAUUAAUGCUGUUGUGGUUAAACGAUCCGUCGUCGACCAAAGGACCAUCAAUAAUUGGUACCUUAAUUUGCUUUUAUUAUUUAUUUAAUAAAUCAAAUACGUUAAAAGUAAUGAUUUAAUUUAUAAAAUGUUUUAGGCCUAACUUUAAAAAGUUAGUGCCAAUUGGUCCUAUAAUAAUAUAGGAUUAAUUGGUAAUUAAGGUACGAUGGAUCCGAUUCUUAUUCAAAAUGUCUUAUUUAGGACGUUUUGAAUAAGACCUCCAUUAUAAAGGAGGAGCAACCAUGAACAAAUCGUUGUGCUUAAAGCAGGCUAUGCAAAAUAAUAGCUUGAGCGAUCGAGCAUGGGAUUGCAAAAGUAACUGAAUUGUAACCGUCAUUCAUACCAUUCAUAUAAAUCGAGUGGAUGAAUGAAAAGGUACAAUUUGGUGAUAGUAAAGGGGUAAAGGGAGAGGUUCCUGGAAUCAUAAGGUUAGGGGUGAAAUCCAUUGAUCCUUAUGAGUCUAGCUGAGGCGAAGGCCGUUGGAAACCACCACAAGCCCGUCGAUCAGGGAUGAAAGUCAGAGUAUCGAAGAUGAUUAGAUACCGUCGUAGUUCUGACUGUAAAAGCUUCUAACCGAGAAUCAGAUAAGAAACUUUUUAAUUAUUAAAUUUAGAUCUAUUUGGUUCUCAUGAGAAAUCUUGAGUGUUCGAGAGCGAGGGGAAGUAUAGUCGCAAGGCCGAAACUUAAAGGAAUUGACGGAAAGGCACCACCAGUGGUGGAUUUUGCGGUUCAAUUCGACUCAACGCGGGAAAACUUACCAGGGCAAGACAGGUAGAUGAUUGACAGGUUGAAAGCCCUUUCUUGAUUGCUUGGAGGGUGGUGCAUGGCUUAAUCCUUGAA